GACCCAUUCAAUUGAAUCAAUUGGCAAUAGCUCUGAUUCAAUUUCAACCGGCCGAUACCAAAAUUAUCUUCGCUCUCUGGUCUCCACCGGUGCCCAUCUCCAACUUAAGCCACUCAACCUCUGAUCAGACUUGCUUCGUAGACCGUUGUCCGUAAGAGGCGUUGCUUCUUCUUGGUGGUAGCUCCACCGUCCACGUCUCCACCGCUCCAGCCUCAAGUUAACCUUCGACUUUGAAGGUCGAGGAAAAAUUGACCGUCGACGCCCGACGAUUCUUCCAAAUUCCAGUAAUAGGCAGCCAACAAAAGAAUAAGGUAAAGCCUCAAUUUCCAAUUUUCGACCAACCCUGAUUUUGAAGCUUUUUUUCUCCUUUUUUGUUUUUAGAUUUGUGUAAAUUGUAAUAAUAUUUGGCUUUUAAAUUGCUGUUUUUAACAUAUGAAAUUAGCACCUCGAAGCGGCACUUCCUACAAUUGCUCUUCAAUUGUUUAUUCUACUAGUACCAGACAGUGAGUGAGAGUCAUACAGACACUUUGAGUUCCAGUUCAUUGUUGCCUUAGCCUCUGGUUGUCUCACGUCUGUGAUUGUGAGUUGCUUACUUUGUUACUACCUUACUGGAUUUUGGAAAUAGUAUAAUUACCCUGUGAAAUUGUGAAUUGCGUGGUGAAUUGAUUAUUUGAAAUUUGUGAAAAUGCACUGUGAAUUGAUUAUGUGAUAUAUUGCAUAUAACUGGCUAGACUUCAAAUGGUAGGGAAAACAGAUAUAUAAAUAUACUAGACACAAAUAUUUCAAAAGACCCGCUUCGACUUGCACAGAAGCUACAAGGGAAAGUAGCUAUAUAAAUAUGCUAGACACAAAUCGAUUAUAAACAACAGUCGAGAACAAGCACAACACUCUUGAUGGAUUUCCUCAUAUGUGAGCAUAUCCAGUGACAACAAAAAUGAGGACCAUUUGGUGCAUGUUUGGCUAAUCUUUAAAAAAAAUUAUUCUAUGUGGUCUGUGGGGUAUACUGUAAUUGAAUUUUAGAGAAGUUCUUGGAAAGAGUUGGGAAGGGAAAAGGAAUGGGACGGCUCUGACGAGGGUUGAGUGUUACUGUGUUAAAGUUCUUUGAAGAUGGUAUUUGGAUUACAGUACAAUACAUAAUUAAACUUCAAUUCCUUUACUGAAUUCUGUGGGUAUGUGAUGAUGAUGAUGAAGUGCGAGGUAGGAUAAGGCACUCGACUCUUGAUUGCUAUUUGAUGCUUCACAUGACUUGGUUGGGUAGGUUAAACCAUGGAUGAUUUUCUUUAAAAGACCUAUGACGAAGCUCCAAAUUGAGAUUUCAAUUUUAGGGGGAAAAAAUAAAAAUCUGAGCAAAUUUUAUUUCAACAAAUGUUUAUAAGGACACUUUACACUUUUUGUGCUGAUGAAUGGAUAGGAGGUUGGUCAAAAAGAUUGAUACUAGAAUUAGGGUGACCGUGGUCAUAUGGAAGUGAAGAAUUGGCAUCUUCCAUAUGGGAUGUGACAUAAAUUUGUUUAGUCCAGUAUAACACUUUUUAACACUUUUUAACUUUGAUAAAUUAAUGGUUAACUUUGAUUUAAAUUUUUGUCAACAGUUUUUAACUAAACUAAAUAGAAACUAUCUUUUCUUCUCUUUUCUUUCUUUGUUUUUUUUUUUUUUUUUUUUUUUUUUUUUUUCUAUUUUCUGCUUUUGCUACAUCAAAUGGGGGAUAUCUUUGGGUCUAGAUAAUAUACACAAGUUUUAGGGCUAAACUUCACAUGAAUUACGUAGAAUUGUUGGAGCCUCCAUUUUAAUGUAUGGGUUGUUGGGUGGGUCAAAAUCAUGUGAUUUAGAUGACUAACUCAUAAAUAUUAAAAUCAAUUUUAAUGACCGUUUACUCUAAAUAAUGUUGAAAGGCGGGUCAAGGGUUAAGCAAAGCAGGUCAAAAAAUUAUUUUUGUAGAACAAUUUGUUUUCUAACUAGUUAAGCAUAAUUUGAUUUAUUAGCUGUAUAACUUUCAAGUAUCUGAUUUGAGUUCCAUAAGUACAGAAAAGGAUUGAAGAUUGUGCCAUAUCAAUUUCCAAUACGCCUGCCGAAGAUUCCAUCCGUGCUGAUGCUAUUACUCGAGUUUUAGGUCCUGAAUGUCAUGGAAGAGUUAGGGGAUUCGGAUUUGGAGUUGUACCAUCAAAAGUGGAUGGACAAAUACAAAGUAGUGGGAGAGUUAGAGAAUUUGAAAGUCAAUUACAGAUCCAAGCACAAAGGGUGGGGACAUUAGAAGAAAAAAUGGAAGCGUUUAUCAGGUUUUCUCAGCAGGUUAUCACUAGUUACUUUUUAUACAUUUUAUGAUUAUAUAGCUUUAUAAAGCCAAUUACAUGUAUAAUAACUUUUAUAAUUUUUGUAUCAUUAUACAGAAUGUGGAGGCUAGGAAUUGAAAUGGUUUUACUCAGGUUUUCGUUUCCUAUAUUAUUAAAUGUUUAUUGAAUAUCUAUUCAGUUUGUAGCAUUCUAAUUUUAAAAAGAAUACUUUCUGUUUAUUAUGAAUUUGUAGUCACACCAAGAAGUGAUGUCCAAGGAAGUAUUAUCCCCAAGAUAAAUGCAAGAUGUCAACUAUUGCAUUGGUAUAUGUUUGAGGAGGAAGAAGUCGUAGCAGAAGGGAAGAUUGCCACAACAGACCCAAGUGCAAAAGUGCACCACUUGCCACUCGGUCGAGACUGUUGGAAGGUUUGGGUUGAUGAAGUCUAUAUUGGUAAUUUGACUCUAUACAGACCCACAAAUGAAUUCCGCACUCUUGGUAAAGCCAUGGGAAGUACUGUUGCUUGGCCAAAGAGCAGUAUUAGACUUCUUGAUUAAGGUAUAUUUUCUGGAUUUAUAACAUAUACACGUCCUAUUUUUGUUUUCUUUCUAUCCUAAAUAGUAUCUAGUGGUGGUUGGUUGGUUGGUACGUAUGAAGUGGUUUCAUGUAAUUGGUUGGUUAGUUAGUGAGAUUUUGGCAGUGAGGAUUAAUAGGUUACUAGGCUUAAUUCUUAUGUUUCAUUCAAUAAGUUUUUUGUUAUUGAAUGGUCGAAACAUGAUUUCAUGCUGAGGCUGAUUUAAUGUGUGGGCAACAUGAUUUUGUGCUAAGCCUGAAAUCCCUAUGUGAUUGUCUUGAUUUGUUACAAUUAAGCCUUUCUAUUGAAAAGGUGAAGUUUUGCUAUUUGAAUGUUUAUUGGUUAUUCAGUGGUUGUUGGCUAAAAACACCUUUACGGGACUCAUUGAUUGCAGGCCGAUCUUUUUCCAACAAGAAGUUUCUUUUUCAAGUGAGAUUGAUGCAAGGCUCGUUGGACAGAAAUUGUUCCACUAGCAAUAGCAUUGAUCAAGUAACAUGUGACGGAGCUCAAAUUUAAGUUUCGAUUUUUGUAGUUUUCUAAUUACAUUUUGGUAGUACAUGUUUGGAGACUCUUAAUUUUAUUUUGGAAUAGAUUAUGUGUUGAAUAUUAUACAAAUUUAAUGAGUACAUGGUUGUUAGAUUAUUAUUUUGGUGGUACAUGUUUUUUAGCUUUGAA
rnacentral:lncRNA from 1 species